CCCGCGCCUGCAAAAUGAGAGCUCGUGGGCUUAUAUACUUGUGGAAAUUUCAUGGACCAUCACACAACGGUCCCCUCCCUUAACCUUCUGUCAUGCAGGGGUAGGAAAUACACUCUGCUACCUUCUGAAUUGGCAUCACGUCUUGUUGGUAUGGGAGCAAUACCACAGUUCAGGAGGCAAACACACCUUGUUAUUCUUGCUCACCGUUUCAGUUCUUGGAGACAUUCAAUCACGGCCGGGUAGAGUUCUGCAGUGUGAUGAUUAGGAAGCUGCCAUUUAAUCCUUUGAUAUACUGAUGUGCAGAGUUUUUAUAAUUUUUUUAAAAGGUACAAGUAAUGUGGCUGUACUUUGCAAUUUUCUGAAUGUUAGGGUGUGAGCCUGUGGUUGCUGCUUGUCUUAAACGCCCGGAUGAGUUUGCAAUUACAUAAACAAUUACUUUUUUUCUGCGGGUAUAAACAAUUACUUCUUAGCUCUGGUAGAAUCUGAAGAGCUAGUACUACACUUGAUCUUCAGUACCUGUUUGCUAAAGGGUC